UGUGGUAGAGGGUAGCGGAAUUCCUGGUGUAGCAGUGAAAUGCGUAGAGAUCAGGAGGAACAUCCAUGGCGAAGGCAGCUACCUGGACCAACACUGACACUGAGGCACGAAAGCGUGGGGAGCAAACAGGAUUAGAUACCCUGGUAGUCCACGCCCUAAACGAUGCGAACUGGAUGUUGGGUGCAAUUUGGCACGCAGUAUCGAAGCUAACGCGUUAAGUUCGCCGCCUGGGGAG
rnacentral:rRNA from 1 species